CACGGAGUUAGCCGAUGCUUAUUCGUAAGGUACAAGCAAUGAGGUACACGUACCCCAGUUUUUUCCCUCACAAAAGCAGUUUACAACCCAUAAGGCCGUCUUCCUGCACGCGGCAUGGCUGGUUCAGGCUUGCGCCCAUUGACCAAUAUUCCUUA
rnacentral:rRNA from 1 species